UUCUUGUUGUUUCUUCCUUUUAUGCUAUUGGAUAACAUUUUGCUUGAUUAAAGAAAUUAGAUUGCUAGAAAAGGGCAGCAAUGAUUUGUUUCCAACAAUUAAUUAUUUUUUCAAUAAAAUAUUCCUUGAAGUGCAACUUUUCAGUCAAGUUCAUGUGGUCAAUAAGGUUAAACACCGUAAACCUUCAUAUGUGAUUCUACAUUUGAACUUUAAAUGGUUUUUGUUUUAACAACUAAAACCCCCUUUCAGCUGUGUUUGGAACUUAGAGGGAGAUACUAAUUGCAAUGAUCCUUUUCAAAUUUACUUAAAUAGACCCCCUGGAUGGAAAAGUGGGAUUUGUAUACUUAAUAAGUCGUCAAAUUCUUGAAAAAUACCAGACGGUUGUUGUCUUGCUUGGUUUUGGAAUUGCUCUUAUCUGGGUGCAAGGUGCAUCAAAAAGAUAAAUAGUGAAGCUCAUUUAGGGUUGUAAAUUUGGUUCAAUUUCUAUUUGAAUCUUGCUUUUAAAAUAAAAAAGUGAGGUAAUGUUGGUAGGAUCUUAUUAUUAAGAAUAUUUUGAAAAAGGCUUGUAUGGUGGAAAAGGAAGUGUUUGUUAACGAAUGGUACCCUCAUUCUUAGUGCCGCAUUUUAAAUUUUUCUUAUGCACUUCAUGUUCAUCUUUUAAAACAUCCAAUUUGGCCACGAGAGAAACAUAGUUCUUUGAAAGGGAUUGCCAUAGGGAUGUGCAUGGAUGAACUUUAGUAUUAUUUGAUUAAGUUGAGGGUAGUUUAUCUUUCUGGUUAUAAGGGAGGUUUAGAUAUAUUUUCAUUUUCGUCUUUCUUUUGAAGAACACUUUGGAAGAAUGGUUAAGUAUAUUUAUUUUAGGGAAGGAGGAUUUGUAGGAUGAAGCUAAAUAUGGAGAAGAGGUUAGGGGUAGUGUUAAUAGAAUUUUAGUCAGCCUAUGGAAACAUAGAAUGUCUAAAUUGGAGGAUUUUUUUACUAUAUCAUUUUGAUGAAGGUGUUUGUUCCCUCUAUUUGGCAUGAACUGGUGCUGGCAUCAUUCACCUCUUGGAAUCAGUUCCUAUGCUUUACUUAUGUUAUUUCAAUUUGGAUAAGUCGGUUUUCCCACCAUCGGUUCUCUAGUAUUAGUGAAGAAGUGUUUGGUAACUGAAUUUUAGUUUUGAGUGCAGAUAAGGUGGUUUGAAACCCAAUUUAAAAUAGAAAUUUCAUGACUGAGAUAUAAAGGUGCAUGUCUGAAUCAUGGAAAUCAUAUGCGUUGAAAAGGUUAGCUUGAGGUUGAUAAGGAAAGGAGAUUUUUAUGUUGAAGAAUAAGCCUCUUUUUUUUUCCUUUCCUUUUCUGUUUCUAUUGGUGAGGGAAGAGUAGGGGCAUGAGGAAAGCAAUCUUUGGAAAAUGCUUAUAGGAAAGCCUUUCUGAAUUUUUGUUGGGAAGUGCCUUCAAGAUUGACAAUUUGAUGAAAAAAGGGAAUUGCAUUACUGUUAACUGUUUUUUUUUUUUUUAAUACUUUUUCAUAUACUUUUUGGGCUAGAAAGGAAAUAAGUGAAUCAUUUUGUUCUGAUAGUGAACGGAUAGGAACUAUUUAGAAUGUCGUUUAUUUUAGUCUUGGCAUUAACUUGGCCUCUUUAGUUAAUAUUUUUAUAUUCAAAACUUAAUGCUUUGAGGGUGUCUAAUUAUAAAGCCAAAAUGUGAAGAGAUGAGAUAUAAAGUACAGUUUAUUUUAUGGAUUACAUUGAUCAAGGAAUUUUUGUGCUUUAGAAAGUGUAGAUUCUUCAUUGGAUAAUCAAAAGACAAAUUGUUAUGCUCUUUCACUUUAAAUGGUAACAUUAUUAGACUGAGAUCCGUUUUAUCUUAAUUUUGUGUAGUGUUCUUUUCAAUUGGGUAUAGAUUGUGCACUCAUCAUGAUCCUGGACCUGCAAUCCGGGUAGGUAUAAAUUGUGGCAAUGAAUAUUCAAAAGUGAAGAAACAUGCUGUUAAGAUGAAGGGGCAUGGAUAAGGAUGCUAAUUUAGAUUUGUGGUAUUCAAGAAUGAAUCAGAUUUGGGCUGAACACAUUGGUCAGGAAGUGGAAGUGGCACCUAUUCGAAAUAAGUUAAGAGGGGCAACUGAGAUGCUUUAGUUAUGUUUGGCUUAGCUAAUUUAACUGGUGUGGAAAUUGAGUAUAAGUUGCAAUAAUGAAAGAUGUAUGGUAGAGCUAGGAUAUUGGAUGGAGUGGUUAAUAAUGUUUUCAUAUUGCAUGAAGCCCAAAUUAGCCUUAAAUGGCAAUAUGCAAUAUAGUACGUCUAGUUACAUUUUGUUCA